CGCAGAGUAGUUGUAAUAUGUGCAAUUACUUAUUUUUUAGUCUAUAUUUAAUAUUCAAUGCAUGUGUACAAACAUUCGAUGUGUUAGCGUGUAACUUUUUAUGGGCGAAUUAAAUAAGGACACUAAAAGCUCCGGCAUUCCAGGGCCCUGUUUAGUUCUCAAAAAUUUUAUUUUUAUUCUAUCACAAUGAAUCUUUGUACGCAUACAUAGAGUAUUAAAAUAUACAUAAAAAUAAUUAAUUGUAAAAUUUGCAUAUAAUUUAUAAGAUAAAUCUUUUAAACUUAGUUAGUUUAUAAUUGCAUACUAAUUACUAAAUAAAACAAAAAAACUACAGUAACUAAAUUAAAAAAAAUUACAAACUAAACAAGGCCUCGUUUCCAUUGCCCAUUCGGUCAUUCGGGCCGGGAGCCCAGAGCCUGCCUGGAAACGGAAAGGAUCCACCGGCGAGAACGAGAUGCUGUACUUGUACGUCCUAGUCGUAAACUCGUAACGUCGAAGUGUCGAAACACGUGCCACUCCAUGGGUGGUAUAUUAUUCUGUUCUGUUAGAUUAUCUAUAUAUCCCGCG
rnacentral:lncRNA from 1 species